AUAUUAAUGUGUGGAUUUUUAUUUCUAAAGAUUUUAGAUCGGUAGAUUAAGCGCGGAAUGUGUAUUCUAAAUAUUUUUAGAAUAUUAUUAUUUACGUAUAUCACAUAUUCUAAACAUUGUAGAUUCAAUGAAAAAAAUAGAUUUCGUUUUUUACUUCUGAGAAUGUCAUUUCUACUUUAUUUAGAAUAGAAUCUGAAAAUUAUGAUUUAAACAUUUUUAGAACUGAGAAAAAUACCAUUAAGUUCAUACAUGUAUUUUAUCAAUAGUUACUAUAUUCCUAAUUUUUUUGUUUGUAAGACAUUUAUUAAAUUUAUAUUCAAAAAUAGGUAUUAUAAGCAAAAAUGACACAAAAUAGAUAUUAGUCUAAAAAGACAUAGUUAUCAUUUUUUUCUUCUCUAAAAUUUUUUUUCCCAAUUUUCAAUUGGUUGACUAUGAUCUCACUGUAUGUUGUUUACAAUUAUGAUUGAGCACGCAAAUAUUGUAUACGUUUUUGCAAGAUUUUUGGCUUCAUAUUUAAUAUUUUGUUUACCAAAUGUUAUUUUCCUUGCAGGUAAUAUCUUUAUGAAUCAAAAUACAUAACCGGUUGGUUACUUAAACCGAAUGCUUGAAAUGGAUAAUGAGAAAAACAGGACCAGCUUGUCAGAGUACGUUAUAUCUAUAAAAAAUAUAUUAGUAAUAUAAUAUCUAACCUAUACUAAAAGUUGGAUAUGUUCAACAACUAACGUCUCCACCUAAACAUAAAAAAUCAUCUAAUUAUAGAGUUUCAAUCUGCCACGUCAUAAAUAAUAACUAAAUUCUAAAAUCAAUUAAAUAAUACGGACAGAGCAGCCCAAAGCCCAAAUUACCUUAGGUCUUCCUAACUCUGUCUUCAAUAGUAUCGGUGACUUUCCUCCUUCCUCUCCCAUUCACUGUUCUGUGAAAAUCAAACGUCACCGGUCAAAGAUCUUCGAGAAACAUAUUUCCUCAAACUUUACUAUCCUUCUCAAAUUAAUAACGAUCCUCUCUCUCUCUUCAGCUUCAAAUAUCUUUAUAUAUAAGCUGAUGCGUACUUACACAACGAACUUCCAAUCCAACUACAACAUGGAUGCUCAUCCAGCUUAGGCAUCUUCUCAUCGAUGAAUAGGUUCACCUGGAUCAAGCUAUGGAAGAGACAUGACCGAAAACAUGUGCUCUGUUAUAUAUUCUUAUUGUGCUUUUCCUUACUCUUGCUUUGAAAUCUCGGAAGCAUUUUCGUUACAACCAUAUGAUCAGAGUUCUGAUCUUUUGUUAUCUUUUUUUUUUGGCUGCUCUAUCCGGUAGACAUUUGUCCUUUUGUUGGUAUUUUUCUGCUCUACUCAUAAAUGGCUCGAGUAGAUAAUAUAUGAUGUUUAGUGGCUUUUGUUGUUUUAUUGAUGUUUUAUAAGUUGUAACAGUGUAUAAGGCUUUCAGUGCCACUAAAAUUAUUUUCAAUCCACACAUACAAUUUGAUAA